rnacentral:rRNA from 1 species
AACGAACGCUGGCGGCAUGCCUAACACAUGCAAGUCGAACGAGACCUUCGGGUCUAGUGGCGCUCGGGUGCGUAACGCGUGGGAACCUGCCCUUAGGUUCGGAAUAACUCCCCGAAAGGGGUGCUAAUACCGGAUAAUGUCUUCGGACCAAAGAUUUAUCGCCUUUGGAUGGGCCCGCGUUGGAUUAGCUAGUUGGUAGGGUAAAAGCCUACCAAGGCGACGAUCCAUAGCUGGUCUGAGAGGAUGAUCAGCCACACUGGGACUGAGACACGGCCCAGACUCCUACGGGAGGCAGCAGUGGGGAAUAUUGGACAAUGGGCGAAAGCCUGAUCCAGCAAUGCCGCGUGAGUGAUGAUGGCCUUAGGGUUGUAAAGCUCUUUUACCCGGGAUGAUAAUGACAGUACCGGGAGAAUAAGCUCCGGCUAACUCCGUG